AUGGCCAAGCAUGGGGCCCGCAGCCGAGCGCGGGCCCUCACCCGCUGCCCAGCAGACAGUGACGGAGCUCGGAAGCGGAUGCAGAAAUCUCGGGUGAAACAGCCGGGAGAGACACAGAGGAAAGGCCCAGAAAGAGGGACAGCUGGCAGGAGGGCACGAGAGACACUUCUCACGCCCCCUUUCUCUUUUGUCCUCUCUCUCGGGUCCUCAGGGAGACCGUCUGCCCCGACUCUCUUCCCCCUGGUCUCCUGCGGGAACCCCCUGUCUGAUGAGAACCCGGUGGCCCUGGGCUGCCUGGCCCGGGACUUCUUGCCCAGCUCCAUCAGCUUCUCCUGGAGCUACAGCAACAGCGUCAGUGUCAGCAGCCAGAACAUCCACAGCUUCCCGGCCGUCCUGCGGGAGGGCAAGUACGCGGCCUCCUCCCAGGUGCUCCUGCCUUUCUCAAGCAUCCCCCAGGACUCCGAAGAGCACCUGCUGUGCAGAGUCGAGCACCCCAACGGCGACAAAUCCGUGGCAGUGCCUUUCCCAGCAUCGAAGCGGACUCCAAACCACUUGGUGUCCUCUGUGGCAUCCCAGCCAGAGGGCUUCACCCUAACCACUCCGAGGAUCUCAGUGCUGUCCACCAGUCGCACCCAGACAGAAGCCCGGAUGCCAGAAAAUCCAAAGGACCCCUGCAGAGAGUGCCGGAACCACACCCAGCCCCCCAGGGUCUACCUGCUGCACCCUCCCCUGCAGGGCCUGUGGCUCCAGGGUCAGGCCACCUUCACCUGCCUGGCGGUGGGAGGCGACCUGCAGGCGGCCCGCUUGUCCUGGGAGGUGGCCGGGCAGCCCCAGAGCAGGCACACGGAGGAGGGGCCCAAAGAGCACACCAACGGGUCCUGGAGCUGGAGCAGCCACCUGGCCCUGUCUAGGGCCUUGUGGGCCAGUGGGACGCCUGUCACCUGCACGCUGAGUGGCCCUGGCCUGCAGUCCCCAGUGACUCUGGUGGCACAGAGAGAACACGAGGCCUUGGCGCCCAGCAAGCCUGCCGUCCGCAUCCUGACGGCACCCAGUCCACUGCACGCUGCCGAGGAGGCCACCUGGCUCCUGUGCGAGGUGUCCAGCUUCUCACCGCUGGGCGUCCUCCUCGCCUGGCUGGAGGGGCAGCGCGAGGUGGACCCUUCUUGGUCCGCCACGGCGCGCCCCGCAGCCCAGCCUGAGAACUCCUCGUUCCGCACCUGGAGCGUCCUGCGCGUCCCCGCCUUCCCGGGCCGUGUGGCUGCCACCUACACCUGUGUGGUCGGGCACGAGGCCUCCCGGACGCUGCUCAACACCAGCUGGAACCUGGACACUGGACUUUUGCUGAGUGAGCAGUGUCUGGGAGCAGAGCGAGGCAAGAGGUCUCCAGCCUUGGAUGAGGCUUAG